UUCAAGCCCUUCCAGAAGGUACCCUUCUGGCAAGGGUACUGUACUAAACUAACUAAAGUGGGGGAUAGUGAGGGGAUAAAUUUUCUUAAGGAACUCGGCAAAAUCCCAAUGGCCCACCAGGGCAUAUUGGAACACGGGCCUCGACUGUUUACCAAAAACAUAGCCCUCGGCUAAUAUGAAAAUAGAUGUAUAGAGGGUGAUGCCUGCCCAAUGGUUGUAUCUAAAAGCGGUUGAUAAAAGUCGACCUCGUAAGGACAAUUGAAUGGCCGCGGUAACACUGACCGUGAUAAUGUAGCGUAAUCAAUAGCCAAUUAAUUGUUGGCCAGUAUGAAUGGCGCCACGAAGGCCCCACUGUCUUAAGGAAAUUCCCAGUGAAAUUGAAUUCGUAGUGAAGAUGCUACGUCCAAUUUGUUAGACGAAAAGACCCCGUUGAGCUUUACUGGAGCACUUAUAUGGCCCCGGCCUUCCCAUGCCUGGGAACCGGCCGAAUUUAAAUGGGCGGCUUAGAUUAUGUGGCAGCCCCCCGCUGGGGCAAAUGAAACACCACUCCCCCAUGUCAAAGGGGCUAACCCCCCCCUUGGGGGGGACAGUGUAAGUAGGACAGUUUGGUUGGGGCGACCGCCUUUUAAAAAGUAACGAAGGUGCGCUUAAGGUGUGCAAUUAAUGACUGAAGCCUGACUGCGAGGGGGGUACGCCGAGCACACACCCCUAA
rnacentral:rRNA from 1 species